GACGAACGCUGGCGGCGUGCUUAACACAUGCAAGUCGAGCGGCGCGGCGAACGGGUGAGUAGCGGGUGAGUAACUGCCCCCUUCUCUGGGAUAACAGUUGGAAACGGUUGCUAAUACCAGCUAGUGGGGGAUGACUCGCGUCCAAUUAGCUUGUGGGUGGGGUAGUGGGCUACCAAGGGGACGGCGGGUAGCCGGCCUGAGAGGGCAAACGGCCCCCAGGGUCUGCGUUACGGCCCAGUCGGCUACGGGAGGCAACAGUCGAGAAUCUUGCACAAUAGGGGAAAGCCUGAUACAGCAACGCCGCGUGCGGAAUGACGGCCUGCGGGUUGUAAACCGCUUUCAGCCAUGACGCGGUAGUGGCAGAAGAAGCACCGGCUAACUACGUGCCAGCAGCCGCGGUAAUAC
rnacentral:rRNA from 1 species